rnacentral:lncRNA from 10 species
CUGGAGGACUGUGGGUAUUAGGUGUCCAAGAAGAAAGCUCAAAUCUGCUGACGGCAGGUACCUUGCUUGGGAUUUACUAUCCGACAGGGGUCCGAACGCAGCCCGGGAACAGAAAGAAAGCAGGUUAUUUACAAUCUACCGGAGCCUAAGGGCAGAAGGCAGGGGUCCGAACGCAGCCCGGGAACAGAAAGAAAGCAGGUUAUUUACAAUCUACCGGAGCCUAAGGGCAGAAGGCAGGUAAGGGAAUUCUUGGGAGCUGUGGGGUUUUGUAGACUGGAUCCCAAACUUUGCAGUAUUAGCCAAGCCUUUGUAUGAGGUCACAAAGGGGGCGGGGAACGGAACCUUUGGAAUGGGGAUCCCAAGAACAAAAAGUCUUUCAGGAGUUAAAGGAAAAACUUCUGGCAGCCCCAGCCCUGGGGCUACCCGAUCUGACAAAGCCUUUUCCAUUGAAUGCGUCAGAUAGAGAAAAGAUGGCAGCUGGACUUUUAACCGAAACUCUGGGGCCCUGGCUGAGGCCGGUGGCCUAGUUGUCUAAACAACUAGAGAGGGUUUCUAAAGGAUGGCCCCUCAUGUUUGAGGGCCGUGGCAUCAACUGCCCUGAUAGUACAAGAAGCAAAUAAGCUGACUCUUGGGCAAAACCUGAACAUAAAGGCCGCCCAUUUUGGGUUGGGUGACAGCCAUCCCCUCUUCCCCCCCUGCCUUAGGACCCCCAUCGCGUAUCCUAAGAUCCUUAGGACUCACCUGGAGGACUGUGGGUAUUAGGUGUCCAAGAAGAAAGCUCAAAUCUGCCAACGGCAGGUACCUUACUUGGGAUUUACUCUCCGACGGGUCGAUGCCACCCGGGAACAGAAAGAAAGCAGGUCAUUUGCAAUCUACCGGAGC